UACGUAGGGGGCCAGCGUUGUCCGGAAUCAUUGGGCGUAAAGCGCGCGUAGGCGGCCAGAUAAGUCCGGUGUGAAAGUCACAGGCUCAACCUGUGAAUGCCGCUGGAAACUAUCUGGCUAGAGUCCGGAAGGGGCGAGUGGAAUUCCUGGUGUAGCGGUGAAAUGCGCAGAUAUCAGGAGGAACACCUAUGGCGAAGGCAGCUCGCUGGGACGGUACUGACGCUGAGACGCGAAAGCGUGGGGAGCGAACAGG
rnacentral:rRNA from 1 species